GAUGAAGAACGUAGCAAAAUGCGAUAAGUAAUGUGAAUUGCAGAAUUCAGUGAAUCAUAGAAUCUUUGAACGCACAUUGCGCCCGCUGGUAUUCCGGCGGGCAUGCCUGUUCGAGCGUCAUUUCAACCCUCAAGCCCCCGGGUUUGGUGUUGGGGAUCGGCUCUGCCCUUCUGGGCGGUGCCGCCCCCGAAAUACAUUGGCGGUCUCGCUGCAGCCUCCAUUGCGUAGUAGCUAACACCUCGCAACUGGAACGCGGCGCGGCCAUGCCGUAAAACCCCAACUUCUGAAUGUUGACCUCGGAUCAGGUAGGAAUACCCGCUGAACUUAAGCAUAUCAAUAAGCGGAGGA
rnacentral:misc_RNA from 1 species